rnacentral:rRNA from 1 species
AACGAACGCUGGCGGCGUGCCUAAUACAUGCAAGUCGAGCGAAUGGAUUAAGAGCUUGCUCUUAUGAAGUUAGCGGCGGACGGGUGAGUAACACGUGGGUAACCUGCCCAUAAGACUGGGAUAACUCCGGGAAACCGGGGCUAAUACCGGAUAACAUUUUGAACCGCAUGGUUCGAAAUUGAAAGGCGGCUUCGGCUGUCACUUAUGGAUGGACCCGCGUCGCAUUGGCUAGUUGGUGAGGUAACGGCUCACCAAGGCAACGAUGCGUAGCCGACCUGGGAGGGUGAUCGGCCACACGGGGACUGAGACACGGCCCAGCCUCCUACGGGAGGCAGCAGUAGGGAAUCGUCCGCAAUGGACGAAAGUCUGACGGAGCAACGCCGCGUGAGUGAUGAAGGCUUUCGGGUCGUAAAACUCUGUUGUUAGGGAAGAACAAGUGCUAGUUGAAUAAGCUGGCACCUUGACGGUACCUAACCAGAAAGCCACGGCUAACUACGUGCCAGCCGCCGCAGUAA